GGGGUGCAUCACAGGCCCUUCUACAGAGACGCAGAUAGAAAGAAACCUGUUUUACACAGCUAAACUGAAGGAUACAAACAUUUCUUUGGGUAGCUUUUGAGCUUGGAGUCAGGCUGAACCCCAGGCCCUGCAGAAACCAUUUCUGAGUUGAGAGCCUGCCAAGAGCUCUGCAAAAAAGUUGCAUCCAUUUGAAAGAAAGCCUGAAAGAAAAAGAUAAGGAUGAAUGUCACAUGUUUGAUGGCUUCUUCAGUACAGGAGACUGAAUGACCAGCUCCUCUCACCACCAAAACAAAGGAGAUGGGCUCUCUAGUCACCUCUCAGAGAGGUGUGACUUGUUUGGGACCAGAUUUGGAUUGAGAGAGGGAGCACACUGAGAAGAUGAUGUGAUCCAAAGGGCACUGGGUCAGGUGACAGAGUGGUGUCACUACCCUUCCCCAUGACCACCUGAGCACUAAAAACAGCUGGUAUCUUUACUCAGCCCACCUUCGGGGACAAGGCACACACCAUCUGAACAUUUGGUUCUUCCCGUUUUAUAGACCUCUGAGAAUUACAUGGCUGUGGAUUCGGGGGCUGAUCUGUGAGU